rnacentral:lncRNA from 1 species
UCUUCAAAAGCCUCAAGUCUCAUCUGCAUUAAAGCUCUCCAUUGAACCCUCUCACAAAAGAGCAUAGAGCAGAACAUUUUACACAGCAGCAUCCAACGUGGUAAGAGUAAGUAUGUUUCAGUUAUAUGUGUGUGUGAGUGUGUGUGUGUGUUUGUAUUUGUGUCAUUAAAUAAAGUGCAUUUUUUUCCCCUAUCAGUUGCAGUCGCUGAUCCAGGUGUAUUAUUUUAGCACUAAUGCUUUCCUUCGCAUUUGGGUUCUUAGGAGACUUUCUUUUCACUUCAU